AAUAGGCCAUGAAUUCGAUCGGAGAAUGAAGUGUAAGCAAGAAGAUUUGAUUCGAGCCUGGAGUUGAGGUCGAGUAGGCUUUGGUCCAAAUCCAAACAUUGCGAUUGCAGCUCUGAGACGAGACUAGGUGCCGUCGCGAGAUCUUCUUGAUUGUGGAGUCUCUCAUUGAGAAAUGAGACAACUGAAGAGGAGAGUAUAGAGAGCGGAGGGAGAAUUCGGAUUUCGGAGUCCAUGGUUAAGCCAUUAGAUUGGCAAAUUUGAUCGAAGGGUAAUGGUAGAUUGGGAAUUUGAUCGGAUUGCGUAUGAGCGAGCUAAGAAGGAAAAAUUUCUUGUUUGUUUGGCUAUGCU
rnacentral:misc_RNA from 1 species